rnacentral:lncRNA from 1 species
UCCAUGCUCUAAGAAAGUUGGUGCGGUGGAUGUCGCUUACAACUUCUUUUGAUAUGUAAGAUUUUUUUUUUUUUUUGUUUGAUGAAAAGAUAUGUAAGAUUUCAUGAGAUUCCAUCUGCCCUUGUAGGAGAUUAAUUUGUAAAUCAUUUUGGCUAGACUUGUGGAAGAAGAUGGGCAGUAAGCUGAAAUUCAUAAAUGACUAUUA